AAAUUGAAGAGUUUGAUCAUGGCUCAGAUUGAAUGCUGGCGGCAGGCCUAACACAUGCAAGUCGAACGGUAACAGGAAACAGCUUGCUGUUUCGCUGACGAGUGGCGGACGGGUGAGUAAUGUCUGGGAAACUGCCUGAUGGAGGGGGAUAACUACUGGAAACGGUAGCUAAUACCGCAUAACGUCGCAAGACCAAAGAGGGGGACCUUCGGGCCUCUUGCCAUCGGAUGUGCCCAGAUGGGAUUAGCUAGU
rnacentral:rRNA from 1 species